CAACCAUUCAUCAGAAUCAGCCCAAAGAGCCCAACCCAGCCCAACUACGUGUGUACUGUACUAUUGUGUUAUGCAAAUCCUAGCUAGCUAGCAACAACCAACAGGCAACAGGCAGCCGAGCCAGCCGACUACUCCCAUUCCCCGAUUUCCCCCGACCCCCACGCAUCCCGGCCGGCGGCCGCCGCCGCCGCCUCACCCCUUCGCCGCCGCGUCCUCACCCCUUCGCCGCCGCCUCCGCCACCUCACCUCUUUGCCGCCGCCGCCGCCGCCUCGCCCCUUCGCCACAGCCGCCGCCUCUUCGUCGGCGUCGUCGCGUCGGCCAACAGCCGCCUCCUCUUCGCCGGCGUCGUCGCAUCGCCGUAUCACCGCCACUGCCGGUCUGCCGCAUCAUCGUCUCGCCGUAGGCCCGUAAGCAGAUCUGUGAAUCUGUGAUGAAUUCCUCUCAUGCAAGUAGCAGCAGCUUCAGCUUGUGCAGUGCGAGUGUAGCAGCUUUGCCAACAAACCUAACACCAUCUGAGCCGACGCAAGUAGCUGAUGCCAACCCACAACCACAAGUGUCUGAUGCAGGUGCCAUUGCAGCAAGUUUGUGGAUGUUUCUCGUUAUAGUAUUAUUAAUUGUUGAUCUUUGCAAAUGUAACAUGCUCUAUUAGAAAAAACAAGAAGUUAUAUUUCUUUAUUGAUUUGUGAAGGUCAGUUUGAGGGGGUUUUAUGUUCCGAUUAAUAUUCGUUACCGUAUUCGUUUCGAUU